rnacentral:tRNA from 1 species
GGGGUCAGUGGUUGAAGACCACGUGCCUCCUGGUUUAGGGAGGCUUUGGUUCAGUGUUUGGCAUGCAGAUGGGCCUAGGUUCAAUUCCUAGCAUCUCCA